UGUGAGAACUGUUGUUUGGGCUGUUUCCUCUCCUUCUGGCCCCCAGAGCUGAUGGGCUGUGGGGCUGCCUGGCUCCCUCAGGUCCAGAAUUGUGUCUCUUCCCGAGGAGAAGAAUAACUCUAUCCAAGGCUCUCCUUACUGGCAGGGGGUGAGGAUGAAACUCUAUCCAAGGCUCUCCUUACUGGCAGGGGGUGAGGAUGAGUAUGGCUCACAGGCGAGGAAUCUGUCCCCCACACCGCGACCCUUUGCAUACAGAUCCCAAAUCCCAUUCAAGUAAAGGACACAAGGAUAAGACAGCCCCCUCUUCUUUUUUCCGUGUUGCCUUUGCUUUGUGUGCUGGGCUUUAGGAAUCUCCUCCAGCCUUUAUGCUUCUACUCCCCCCUUUUGUAUCCACCAGAAUGAAGUCAAGUGAUCCAGUUCCUUUCCCCCUUGGCUGUUCCUGCUGUGUGGGACUUGUUCCCUGGGAGUUCUUCUAUUCUGUCAAUGGCAGGAGAAAUGAAAGUAUGUUCUGUGGCGCUGUGCUGCUCGGCUGUGUGUGUCUGGCUCUCCCUAUUGGCCCCAGCAGAAAGAAGAGAUAGAGCGAGGCCAGCUCUGUACUUCCGCACCAGCCCCAGCCUGCUGACAGGCAGCCAGAGGAGCAGUGACUGGGCUAGGGCAAAGCUACACAGUGGCGUGCCAAAGUCUCUAUCCCUGGCACAUUGUGGAGCUGCACAGCUUUGUGGGCGUAGCUUUUCCCUGUGUGAGAGCAGCAGGCUCCUAGAUGGGAAAGCAAAGGAAAUGGUUGUGCACAUUCCAAGGUUACAUAGUUUUACAUUACUUGAAACGCAUGAAUAAAGCAAUUCCCUAUUAAAUACACACAAUUACAUAUGUACAGAUAUUUUUCCCCCUGAGGAAAUUCGCAAAGAUGUGAUCAAAACAUAGACGUUUCAUUGUUUGUUAACAAGUUAUUCUAACUAA